AGUGGGAUAGUUGGGUCAUAUGGUGGUUCCAUCCCUAGUUUUUUGAGAAAUCUCCAAACUGCUUUCCAGAGUGGUUAUACUAGUCUGUAGUCCCACCAACAAU
rnacentral:pre_miRNA from 1 species